GAUGAACGCUGGCGGCGUGCCUAAUACAUGCAAGUCGAGCGAACAGACGAGGGGCUUGCUCCUCUGACGUUAGCGGCGGACGGGUGAGUAACACGUGGAUAACCUACCUAUAAGACUGGGAUAACUUCGGGAAACCGGAGCUAAUACCGGAUAACAUGUUGAACCGCAUGGUUUAACAGUGAAAGACGGUCUUGCUGUCACUUAUAGAUGGAUCCGCGCCGCAUUAGCUAGUUGGUAAGGUAACGGCUUACCAAGGCAACGAUGCGUAGCCGACCUGAGAGGGUGAUCGGCCACACUGGAACUGAGACACGGUCCAGACUCCUACGGGAGGCAGCAGUAGGGAAUCUUCCGCAAUGGGCGAAAGCCUGACGGAGCAACGCCGCGUGAGUGAAGAAGGUCUUCGGAUCGUAAAACUCUGUUAUUAGGGAAGAACAAAUGUGUAAGUAACUAUGCACGUCUUGACGGUACCUAAUCAGAAAGCCACGGCUAACUACGUG
rnacentral:rRNA from 1 species